UGUGUGGUGGUAAACGGAGGCGUUCUCGAAGUCGGAGCUGGAGGCUCAUGCCCUCGUGUGCCCUGCUCUCGUGUCCGUGGUCCGCAAGGACUCGUCACGUUUGUCGGGGUUCCCGUUGGCAGCAUUUCUUUGGCUCUUCACGCAACGAACCGCUGGGACUAGACUGAGGCCUUGGGUGAAGUUUGGGACUUGCUCCUAAGCCCCUUGUUCCUAGCUCUUGGCCCGGCGGGUAGCUAAGCAGGCUCGUACAGCGAGUGUCUUCACUGGCACGGCUUGCAUCUCCGUUGCGAGUAGGUCGGCGGA
rnacentral:rRNA from 1 species